rnacentral:rRNA from 1 species
CAGUCGCCGCGGUAAUGCGUAGGGUGCAAGCGUUAAUCGGAAUUACUGGGCGUAAAGCGUGCGCAGGCGGUUUGUUAAGACAGAUGUGAAAUCCCCGGGCUCAACCUGGGAACUGCAUUUGUGACUGGCAGGCUAGAGUAUGGCAGAGGGGGGUGGAAUUCCGCGUGUAGCAGUGAAAUGCGUAGAUAUGCGGAGGAACACCGAUGGCGAAGGCAGCCCCCUGGGCCAAUACUGACGCUCAUGCACGAAAGCGUGGGGAGCAAACAGGAUUAGAUACCCCGGUAGUCCCUGUCUCUUAUAC